AUGAACGCUGGCGGCGUGCUUAACACAUGCAAGUCGAACGAAGCACCUCUAAUCGAAGAUUGAUAAGCUUGCUUUGAUUGAUUCACCUUGAGGUGACUGAGUGGCGGACGGGUGAGUAACGCGUGGGUAACCUACCUUAUACAGGGGGAUAACAGUUGGAAACGACUGCUAAUACCGCAUAAGCGCACAGGACCGCAUGGUCUAGUGUGAAAAACUCCGGUGGUAUAGGAUGGACCCGCGUCUGAUUAGCUAGUUGGUGAGGUAACGGCUCACCAAGGCGACGAUCAGUAGCCGACCUGAGAGGGUGACCGGCCACAUUGGGACUGAGACACGGCCCAAACUCCUACGGGAGGCAGCAGUGGGGAAUAUUGCACAAUGGGCGAAAGCCUGAUGCAGCGACGCCGCGUGAACGAAGAAGUAUUUCGGUAUGUAAAGUUCUAUCAGCAGGGAAGAAAAAUGACGGUACCUGACUAAGAAGCUCCGGCUAAAUACGUGCCAGCCGCCGC
rnacentral:rRNA from 1 species